rnacentral:lncRNA from 1 species
UCUCCUUCUCUGCUCUCUAUUGCCAUAGGUCUGCUUAAAGACCUUAAACAGAGUUCAGAUCGAAGAAAGGAUUCCUCACAGCACUAAAACACCUCCCUGAAACAUCUGAUCCAAGCUACAACCCCCUCAGAUUGUCUGAUCAUGCAACACCCCCAAGAAAUGCGUGUGAAAUGCCUCCAAUCCAUCGUGGACCAUGAGAAACAUGAGGAAAAC